rnacentral:rRNA from 1 species
AUUGAACGCUGGCGGCAUGCCUUACACAUGCAAGUCGAACGGUAACGGGCCUUCGGGUGCCGACGAGUGGCGAACGGGUGAGUAAUGUAUCGGAACGUACCUUUCAGUGGGGGAUAACGUAGCGAAAGUUACGCUAAUACCGCAUAUUCGGUGAGCAGGAAAUCAGGGGAUCGCAAGACCUUGCGCUGAUUGAGCGGCCGAUAACAGAUUAGCUAGUUGGCGGGGUAAGAGCCCACCAAGGCGACGAUCAGUAGCUGGUCUGAGAGGACGACCAGCCACACUGGGACUGAGACACGGCCCAGACUCCUACGGGAGGCAGCAGUGGGGAAUUUUGGACAAUGGGCGCAAGCCUGAUCCAGCCAUGCCGCGUGCGGGAAGAAGGCCUUCGGGUUGUAAACCGCUUUUGGCAGGAACGAAACGGCGCAGGCCAAUACCUUGCGCUAAUGACGGUACCUGCAGAAUAAGCACCGGCUAACUACGUGCCAGCCGCCGCAGUAAGAC